rnacentral:rRNA from 1 species
AUUGAACGCUGGCGGCAGGCUUAACACAUGCAAGUCGAGCGGGGGAAGGUAGCUUGCUACCGGACCUAGCGGCGGACGGGUGAGUAAUGCUUAGGAAUCUGCCUAUUAGUGGGGGACAACAUCUCGAAAGGGAUGCUAAUACCGCAUACGUCCUACGGGAGAAAGCAGGGGAUCUUCGGACCUUGCGCUAAUAGAUGAGCCUAAGUCGGAUUAGCUAGUUGGUGGGGUAAAGGCCUACCAAGGCGACGAUCUGUAGCGGGUCUGAGAGGAUGAUCCGCCACACUGGGACUGAGACACGGCACAGACUCCUACGGGAGGCAGCAGUGGGGAAUAUUGGACAAUGGGGGGAACCCUGAUCCAGCCAUGCCGAGUGUGUGAAGAAGGCCUUAUGGUUGUAAAGCACUUUAAGCGAGGAGGAGGCUACUUUAGUUAAUACCUAGAGAUAGUGGACGUUACUCGCAGAAUAAGCACCGGCUAACUCUGUGCCAGCCGCCGCAGUAA